UCAAUUAUUGGCAACCAAUAUUAUAGAAUUACACGAACAGAAGCCGAGAAAAGGAGAAUUGGAGACAAGUAAUUGCUGGAAGAAAGACGACACAUGCAGAAAACAUUGAAGAGGAAAUCGACGACAAAAUCAUUGACAUAAAAAUUAAUUAUGUACCGUCGAAAUUUUUGGUGAUGUCCUUCCACUUUUAUUUGUUCAUUAAUUUUAACAGCAUGUUAGGCUAAUUCUUUUUUGUGUAUUGGAUGAGAUGAACCCUAAUGCUUAUUUAUUUCUAAUUCAAGACAAGUAAUUUAGUUUAAUUAUUGUCUUUCUUGAUUGGUUUUACAUUCUCAUUGAACUAUUUAAUUGCUUGAUCACAAAUUAGAUAGUAAGUUACUUAUUGUAGUGUAGUAAUACUCACAAUAAGUUUAGAACACGGUAAAAUCAACACAUGGGCAAUAGGUAUUAGGAAUAAUCUCUAUGGCAUGUGCAAUCGAGUGUGAUAAAUCUUGGAAAAGAAUAUUGAACAAAAGUGGAUUAUCGAUUAUCUUGAAUGCGUGAAAUUAUCUAAAUUACGAAUUAAGAAUUGGAAUAAAUGGCAAU
rnacentral:lncRNA from 1 species